CAAGAGGGCUUAUUGGGAGUGUUUAGCUUUGUAUGGAAGGCUGAGAGAUCAAGGAAUUGCUGUGCAUCAAUGGUGGGACUAAGAAGAACAAAGAAAGCCAUAAAGAAGAGAGUAAGACUUUUCGUGUUUGAAGUUUCAGUAGCUAAAUCUUUUUAUUUGUUUACCCUUCUGAAUGAAGAAUUUCAGUAGUGGUUUUGUUGGUUUUGUGCUGCAUGAACUGUGAUGUCUCAUAUGUAGCGUUUUCAUACGAGGAUUAUGUUCCUCUCCCUUGAGACUUGUUGAUUUCACUUCUUAAUUUAUGAGAAUAAAAUCACAUAAUUUUCUAUAUUCUUG
rnacentral:misc_RNA from 1 species